rnacentral:rRNA from 1 species
UUAAGCAUAUCAAUAAGCGGAGGAAAAGAAACCAACAGGGAUUGCCCCAGUAACGGCGAGUGAAGCGGCAAAAGCUCAAUUUUGAAAUCCCCCCGGGGAGUUGUAAUUUGAAGACUAGGGGAUUUGGCCCAAACCUGCGCAAGUCCAUUGGAACAUGGCGCCCAAGAGGGUGAGAGCCCCGUCGCGCAGGCCGCAGCCUUGACAUCCCCCCGUCAAAGAGUCGAGUUGUUUGGGAAUGCAGCUCAAAGUGGGUGGUAAAUUCCAUCUAAAGCUAAAUAUUGGCGAGAGACCGAUAGCGAACAAGUACAGUGAUGGAAAGAUGAAAAGCACUUUGAAAAGAGAGUGAAACAGUACGUGAAAUUGUUGAAAGGGAAGGGCUUGCAAGCAGACACGAGUUCGCUCGGGCCAGCAUCAAUUUCGCGAGGUGGACAACACGCCAGGAAUGUGGCAGGCUCCGGCCUGUGUUAUAGCCUGCGCGCCAUACACCUCCGCGAGAUUGAGGCCUGCUCCAAAAGGAUGCUGGCGUAAUGGUUGCAAGUCGCCCGUCUUGAAACACGGACCAAGGAGUCUAACGUCUAUGCGAGUGUUUGGGUGGCAAACCCAUGCGCGGAAUGAAAGUAAGAGAUUGGAGCCGCAAGGCGCACAAUCGACCGACCCAGAAGUGCUCGGACGGGUUUGAGUAGGAGCAUAGCUGUUGGGACCCGAAAGAUGGUGAACUAUACCUGGAUAGGGUGAAGCCAGAGGAAACUCUGGUGGAGGCUCGUAGCGGUUCUGACGUGCAAAUCGAUCGUCGAAUCUGGGUAUAGGGGCGAAAGACUAAUCGAACCAUCUAGUAGCUGGUUCCUGCCGAAGU